rnacentral:rRNA from 1 species
UACGUAGGGGGCAAGCGUUGUCCGGAAUCAUUGGGCGUAAAGCGCGUGUAGGCGGCUCGAUAAGUCUGCUGUGAAAGUCCAGGGCUCAACCCUGGGAUGCCGGUGGAUACUGUCGAGCUCGAGUCCGGAAGAGGCGAGUGGAAUUCCUGGUGUAGCGGUGAAAUGCGCAGAUAUCAGGAAGAACACCAAUGGCGAAGGCAGCUCACUGGGACGGUACUGACGCUGAGACGCGAAAGCGUGGGGAGCAAACAGG